UUAAUCGAGAGUUUGAUCCUGGCUCAGGACGAACGCUGGCGGCGUGCCUAACACAUGCAAGUCGAACGGACUUAGCGGAAGCUUGCUUCUGCGAAAGUUAGUGGCGAACGGGUGAGUAAUGCAUGAGAAACCUGCCUUUGAGUGGGGGAUAACACAGGGAAACUUGUGCUAAUACCGCAUAAUGUAUUUAAAGGACAUCCUUUUUAUACCAAAGAUUUAUCGCUCAAAGAUGGUCUCAUGUCUGAUUAGUUUGUUGGUGGGGUAACGGCCUACCAAGACUGCGAUCAGUAGCCGAACUGAGAGGUUGAUCGGCCACAUUGGGACUGAGAUACGGCCCAGACUCCUACGGGAGGCAGCA
rnacentral:rRNA from 1 species